CGUUUUGACAAUAGCUUAUACAAUUUACCGUUGUACAACGUACUUUGCUGAACGUAUAGCGUUUCUCGUUAAUCCACGCAUGUUUAUAUCGACGCGUGCCAACUUAUGCUUUCUCCACUUUCUAUUAGCAACGCACAACAAUACGCUGUCAAUUCUCCAUAAUUUUUACUUAAAACAGAAAAGGAACCUUUAUAAAAACGGAAAAUGAUAUAUAUUAUUUUUUUUCACUCGCGUCUUUUAUCAUCUUAACUCAAACAUUUGCGUUUUCAUGACAAAUCAAGCCUAUUUCCAAUACAGUAAAAUACGUUAAACAUUAAUACAGAACUUUUUGUAUAUCCUUAUCUGGUUAUUUUUUCCUUUUUUUUUUUUUAUAAAAAAAAAAUCAGAUGUUACCUUUUUUAAAACAUUGCCAAGUUAAGCGCCUGGCCAUCCAAAGCAAACCAACUCAAAUGUAGGAAUUGAUACAAACAUCGAAAAAUGUGCACUUUUAAAUGUAGCGUUUAAGAAUACCACGCUUACACACUAAUAUGAAAUGUAAAUCCGAGUUUACGAAAUCUGCCAACUCCGGCGGUUUAAAUUAUUUAAGAAAUUAAGGGGGUAACAACUUUACUAAUCCUCCCCCCACAUAUUCCUAAUGAUGGAAAAACGGUAUAGGAAAAUUGCGACAUCGGUAUG